CUUCUGUUUCUCUGGUUAUCAAAACUCCAGAGCAUAUUGGUGUGCUGCAUAAUUUGAACAAAGUAACAGCCUCUCCUGAGCAAGCUGCAACAUUUGCUGUGGGUAAGCUGUGCUGCAUGUGUGCCCCUUGGCUAACCCUCCCUGCUGCUAUGUGGGACUGUCUGCAUCAGCUUUUGGAAAGGCCCAGAAGGGAUGAAUGGAAAUAUAAUUGUACCCUGAAGAGAAAUGAGGUGGUUUCAAAUGGCUGGAGUGAAAAUGUUUGCCACUGUAGAGAAGAGAACAGUGAUGGGUGAGAACAAUAUCCUACAGAAGCAGAUGAAGUAUUUCUUCUCCAGAUUCAAAACACAGUUCCAGGAAAACAGCCUCUGCAUUGCCACCAGAAAGAAAGCAGAAAGCAAACUUCAUUACUGGAUCCUGAUAGAUAUUACCACAAGCACUUGUGUUGAGGCUGUAGAGGAGUUAAAGGCCACAGAAAUUUACCAAGCCAUUCUCAAUCUUAAAUAAGUCUAGAAUAAAAAAAUGCUUUAGGGUAUUUUUGUUUCA
rnacentral:lncRNA from 1 species